rnacentral:rRNA from 1 species
CAGUAGCCGCGGUAAAACGAAGGGGGCUAGCGUUGCUCGGAAUGACUGGGCGUAAAGGGCGCGUAGGCGGCUGUCACAGUCAGAUGUGAAAUUCCUGGGCUCAACCUGGGGGCUGCGCUUGAUACUUGGUUGCUUGAGUGGGGAAGAGGGUCGUGGAAUUCCCAGUGUAGAGGUGAAAUUCGUAGAUAUUGGGAAGAACACCGGUGGCGAAGGCGGCGACCUGGUCCUCGACUGACGCUGAGGCGCGAAAGCGUGGGGAGCAAACAGGAUUAGAUACCCGCGUAGUCCCUGUCUCUUAUAC